AUUGAACGCUGGCGGCAUGCCUUACACAUGCAAGUCGAACGGCAGCACGGGAGCAAUCCUGGUGGCGAGUGGCGAACGGGUGAGUAAAGUAUCGGAACGUGCCCAGCCGUGGGGGAUAACGUAGCGAAAGUUACGCUAAUACCGCAUACGAUCUAUGGCUGAAAGCGGGGGAUCGCAAGACCUCGCGCGAUUGGAGCGGCCGAUAUCAGAUUAGGUAGUUGGUGGGGUAAAGGCUUACCAAGCCGACGAUCUGUAGCCGGUCUGAGAGGACGACCACCCACACGAGGACUGAGACACGGCCCAGACUCCUACGGGAGUCAGCAGUGGGGAAUGUUGGACAAUGGGCGCAAGCCUGAUCCAGCCAUGCCGCGUGCAGGAUGAAGGCCUUCGGGUUGUAAGCUGCUUUUGUACGGAACGAAAAGGUUUGACUUAAUACGUUGGACUCAUGACGGUACCGUAAGAAUAAGCACCGGCUAACUACGUGCCAGCCGCCGCGGUAA
rnacentral:rRNA from 1 species